AUAUCUCUCUGUACGGGAAGGAUGAGAAGCUUCGACUAAGGUUCGAUUCGAGCGUCAGCGAGAAAGCGUUGCCGCAGGCAACGACCCGAAGGGCGAAGCGCGCAGCGCUGAGUCAUCCU
rnacentral:sRNA from 1 species